AGGGGAGCAGAGUGUCUUUAUUCUGAUAAUAUGUACUUUUAUGUCCAAGGGGUGAUGGAAAGAUGAGAUAAAUGCUUCAAUUUUUUAAAAAGGUAUUAUAGUAAAAGACAUGUUGCCAAGAAUGAUGAUAUGUGUAUCUAAGGGGAAACUAAUGGCAAUGUGCCUUUUACUGUACUAAAUUUUUAAAUUUCAACAUUUAACAUGUUUUAUGAUUACCCCUCAUCGAUCAGACAUUUAUGGCAAUUUCUAUCAAAUAACAACACGACAGUGCGUCCUCGUCCACCUCAUCCCCCCGAUCCGGCACUCCUCAUCUUCAGGUUCCUCCUCCAAGUCUACAUGGCCACAAGAGGCCAGCUUUUUUAAGUGAUUUGAAACCUUAAGGGCUCCACACAGCAAAACAAUGGCAGAAGAGGACUCCUUUCCAGAGCUGCUUCAGGCAGGAAUGCAGGCGAAUUUGAAGCCGGAAGUGGGAGAGGGAGGGUUCUGAGGGAGGUGAAUGGCAACCUGGCUUAACUAAUAAUUCUUUUAAAUUUAAACACUCACCAUAUUUUUGAUCCUACCUCUCCCACAGUAAAACCCUACUCUCGCGGCAAUCCGGGUCAACAUACUUUUAACAAAGACGCACUUUGGUGAAGCCAGGUGCCAGAUGCCAAGACCCUCUUUGCCCCACAAGGACCUCAGAGAAACUGCAGAAGAAAUGAUAACGGCGACAUGAAUUUUUACAGAGUUAACGGAGACAUUCAGAAGGCAAAGUCCCGCACCACCUACACACAAUUUCCGCUGCUGUUGACGUCUUCCAUCAAAGUGGGGCAGCUCCUCGCCGUCGGAUACCGCUGGACCCAGUGUUGGACAGUGGGGCCAACAGAAGUCCCUGCUUCACUGACUUCCCUUCCGCCAGGACCCCGUGCUACAUUUACUCUGCCUCCUGCGCCUCUCCGUGGUGACAGAUUCUCAGACUUCCCUUGGUUUGGGUGCCUUUGACAGAGCUGGGAAGCCCUGCUCAGCUAUCUUGCAGAAUGCUCUUCCUUGGGGCUUUGUUUGAAUUUCAUUCUAGUGAAGAGGCUGGAGUUUGGGGUUUGAGGGGGAAGAUCGGGAGGCAGAGGGCCAUCCUCAUCUUACCCAGAGGACAGAACAUCAGCUCUUGGUGUGAACCCUGACUGCCUGGCUCAGGGAAACUUGGUCCGCUUUUCCCACUGUGAAGCGCUCCUGCCACGGAGGGAGCUGCAGAGCAGGAAGCUACGCCCCACCAGGGUCUACAUCUAGAACAUCCCCAAAAAGUCUCAUGUGCGUGGAAGGUGACUGGAUCUUUGGGCAGCUGCAGUCCUCAGUGGAUUCACCUGUCGCUGAGUGCAGUAGCUGAAUAUGCCCUUGGGAGGUGGGAACUGGCUGGAGGUGGAUCUCGCCCUCCUUCCUGGCCUCUCCUUCUUUAAAUUGCAGGUGUUGAGAACGUGGCUAGUGCAGCCCUCUGUUGGACAGAAUGUUUCUAACAGAAGGCUCAGAGGUCAAGAUUACUGAAACAAACUCAACGAGCACAAGUAGAUGAUGAAAUGGCAUUGGCAUUGUAUUAUUUUCCUGAGGCGCUGAGAAAUGAAGAAUUCAAUGGCUGCUCACACAUCAGGGCCAUGGCCUUGACCGCUAUUGAUUCUGCAUCCUGGGCACAAGUGUAAGCCGGGCAACAAAGCAGACAGUGCCUCAGCAUGCCUGUGACAGUGGCUGUAAUGCUGUGGGCCCUCAAAGGGGACUAGGGGCCCAUGGAGUACACUCCGGAAUGACGCUUUCAGGGGCUAAAUUUAGCUUCCUCCAUCAUUUCGUCCUUAAGUCCCCAACUCUCCCAGGGAGAAUCCAGAUGGCCCAAAUGGGGCCGGCUCGCUCCUCUCAGGAUCCGCACCGACUCUCCACCUGCCUCUGUCCCACCUGUCCCCGUGCCCCAUGCCCGCUAGCUAAUGGGUAGGAACCAGAAGAUUCACACAAACAUCUCCAACACUGCCCACCCCAGGUCCAAGUCAGAAACGUCACUCUCACCUUCCCCGGGUUCGUAUGGUUGUCAUUGUUCCCAGGUUGUGCAGCUGUGUCUAUCUUCUUUCUUGCUAAUUUACAGGACACUGUUAAGCAUGCUCAUAUGCCAGUCCCUGGACUAGUUACCCCAGUAUGCUCUUUGUUAGAACACAGAAGUCUCGCCAGCCUUUCCAGGCAAACAAACAUUAACCCUUUCCCCCCUGAGUCUCAAAAAUGUUAUUUUAAGCCAGAGCUAAAUGAUUCGCAUUUAUAAGCCUACUUAUUAAUUACAUUACUUCUAAUUAAGGAAGUUUCCAAGGUCACUUUUCCAACUGAAGUUUCU
rnacentral:lncRNA from 1 species